rnacentral:misc_RNA from 1 species
GAUGAAGAACGUAGCGAAUUGCGAUAUGUAAUGUGAAUUGCAGAUUUUCAGUGAAUCAUCGAAUCUUUGAACGCACCUUGCGCUCCUUGGUAUUCCGAGGAGCAUGCCUGUUCGAGUGUCAUUGAAUUCUCAAUCUUCACAACCUUGUGUUGUUUGAAGGUUGGAUGUGGAGGCUUUAUGUGGGCUUGUCCCACUCCUCUGAAAUAUAUUAGCUGGAAUGCCUUUGCAAAGCCAACUAUCAGUGAGAUAAUUAUCUAUGCUGGAGUUGCUGCAUGAAAGGGAAUCUGCUUCUCAACUUGUCCUUCUGGACAAAAUGAAUCAUUUUGACCUCAAAUCAGGUAGGACUACCCGCUGAACUUAAGCAUAUCAAUAAGCGGAGGA